AUCGAACGCUGGCGGCAGGCUUAACACAUGCAAGUCGAGCGAGCGGCGAACGGGUGAGUAAUGUGUGGGGGUUGCCCGUUAGAGGGGGGAAACUAUUGGAAAAGGUAGCUAAUACCGCAAACUGCCGGAUAACCCAUAUGGGAUUGGCUAGUAGGUGAGGUAAUGGCCCACCUAGGCGACGAUCCCUAGCUGGUCUGAGAGGCUGAUCAGCGACACGGGGACUGAGACACGGCCCAGACUCCUACGGAGGCAGCAGUAGGGAAUAUGGCGCAAUAGGCGCAAGCCUUAUGCAGCCAUGCCGCGUGUAUGAAGGAGGCCCUAGGGUUGUAAAGUACUUUCAGUCGGGAGACGUUACCGGCAGAAGAAGCACCGGCUAACUCCGUGCCAGCCGCCGCGGUAAUAC
rnacentral:rRNA from 1 species